AUUGAACGCUGGCGACAGGCCUAACACAUGCAAGUCGAGCGGAUGAAGGGAGCUUGCUCCUGGAUUCAGCGGCGGACGGGUGAGUAAUGCCUAGGAAUCUGCCUGGUAGUGGGGGAUAACGUCCGGAAACGGGCGCUAAUACCGCAUACGUCCUGAGGGAGAAAGUGGGGGAUCUUCGGACCUCACGCUAUCAGAUGAGCCUAGGUCGGAUUAGCUAGUUGGUGGGGUAAAGGCCUACCAAGGCGACGAUCCGUAACUGGUCUGAGAGGAUGAUCAGUCACACUGGAACUGAGACACGGUCCAGACUCCUACGGGAGGCAGCAGUGGGGAAUAUUGGACAAUGGGCGGAAGCCUGAUCCAGCCAUGCCGCGUGUGUGAAGAAGGUCUUCGGAUUGUAAAGCACUUUAAGUUGGGAGGAAGGGCAGUAAGUUAAUACCUUGCUGUUUUGACGUUACCAACAGAAUAAGCACCGGCUAACUUCGUG
rnacentral:rRNA from 1 species